UUGCCGCAGGCCUCCCGGGUAACCUACCACCCUUUGUUUAUUACACUUUGUUGCUUUGGCAAGCCUGCCCUCGGGCUGCUGGCUCCGGCCGGCGAGCGCUUGCCAGAGGACCUAAACUCUGUUUGUCUAUACUGUCUGAGUACUAUAUAAUAGUUAAAACUUUCAACAACGGAUCUCUUGGUUCUGGCAUCGAUGAAGAACGCAGCGAAAUGCGAUAAGUAAUGUGAAUUGCAGAAUUCAGUGAAUCAUCGAAUCUUUGAACGCACAUUGCGCCCCCUGGUAUUCCGGGGGGCAUGCCUGUCCGAGCGUCAUUACAACCCUCAAGCUCAGCUUGGUGUUGGGCCCCGCCGCCCCGGCGGGCCCUAAAGUCAGUGGCGGUGCCGUCCGGCUCCGAGCGUAGUAAUUCUUCUCGCUCUGGAGGUCCGGUCGUGUGCUCGCCAGCAACCCCCAAUUUUUUUCAGGUUGACCUCGGAUCAGGUAGGGAUACCCGCUGAACUUAAGCAUAUCAAUAAGCGGAGGA
rnacentral:rRNA from 1 species